GCAGCAAUAACAUCUAGAAGGAAUGACAAUUUUAAAUCUCUUAAGUCCAUCAUCAGUAGGAAUACUUUUGUGAGGCAUUCCGUAAACAAAGAAGGAUAUCUUAUAAGUAAGCUUCUUGUGCCAAAUCAUGUUAGAAGUGAGGGUACUAGGCCUUCACUUCCUAAGGCUAUGCCAAAUACUUUUACAGGAAAACUUGCUAGUGCUAUCACUAGACCAAAUAGGAGUAUCAAUCUUG
rnacentral:lncRNA from 1 species